rnacentral:rRNA from 1 species
AUGCAUACAGUUGCAUUUAAAUCUUGUGAAAAUCUGGAAGAUGUUCUUGCUCGACCAUCUUCUUCCAAGUCCAUGCUUACCGAGUACUUUGAGAUGAACCGAAGGUUUCCGGAGGCACGAAAAUGGUUGUACAGAGAGUUUCCAGAACAUUAUAGAUGGAUAGCUGGAAACAACGAGUGGCAGAAUAGAAGAAAUAAGAGAUCACAAAUUGGAAGGCUUGUGUAUGCACACCCUGCUGAAGGAGAGAGGUACUACUUGCGUGUCCUACUAAGUCAUGUCCGAGGUGCCACUUCAUUUGAUGAUUUAAAAAUAGUAAAUGGCAAGGCAUGCAGUUCCUUCAGGGAGGCAUGUGAGCACUUAGGCCUCAUUGAGCAUGACAGGACUCUUGAUGAUUGCAUGACGGAGGCAGCCACAUUUCAGAUGCCUUGUGCCCUAAGACGGUUGUUUGCGACUAUACUGGUAUUUUGCGAGGCAACAGAAAUCCGACAAAUGUGGGACAAGCAUCUAGCAUCAAUGUCUGAGGAUUACCGUCGUAACCAAUCCAAUGAGGCAACACUUGAACAGAUGGUGCUUAGAGAUAUCAGGGAUAUGUUGCAAUCCAUGGGAAAGGAUAUUACAAGCUAUGGACUUCCAGAUCUGGUUGAGACUGAUGGUUCUUAUGAUGGUGAGCACAGAGAGGUAACAGAGGAGAGGCAAGUCACCGUGGACAAAGAACAUCUAGAUCUAUUUAGCAGUUUGAACAGUGAGCAACUGGCUGGUUUCAAUGACAUAAUGGAUCAUGUGAUGAACCAAAAAAGUCAGGUGUUCUUUGUUGAUGGUCCAGGAGGCAUUGGGAAGACGUACUUAUACAAGGCAUUGCUUGCAAAGUGGGACGAAGUCGCUAUGACAAAACGUCAAGCUGUUGAGACGCUUGAUAGAUCGUUGCAGGAUAUAAUGGAAUGUCCAUUGCCGUUUGGGGGAAAGGUUGUCGUCUUUGGUGGGGAUUUCAGGCAGGUCCUUCCCGUUGUGGCACGUGGGACAAGAGCACAGAUCACAGAUGCUACACUUCUGAGAUCAUAUCUGUGGGAGAAGACCCGCAAGAUACGUCUCACGCACAAUAUGCGUGCACAGGCUGAUCCUUGGUUCUCCAAAUACCUCCUAAGGAUCGGCAAUGGAACAGAAGAGACAAUUGGCGACGACUAUGUGCGUCUCCCUGACGACAUUGUGAUCGGCUAUACUGAGGAUGAAAAAGCUAUCAACACGCUCAUUGAAGAUGUCUUCCCAUCGCUGCAUGCCAAUGCUAGAUCGAGAGAGUACAUGAGCGCACGUGCAAUUCUUUCGACCAAGAAUGAUCAUGUGGAUGACCUGAAUGAUAAGAUGAUCUCCAGGUUUCCAGGCGAAGAAAAGUUAUACCAUAAUUAA